GUGUUCCAAUUCAAAAUAAUUUUAAUUAGACUCUUUUGUCUGGAACACCAACAUGGCCGCCAUGGCUUUUGUUGAGUUGGUCCCUGGGGAAUGAGUGCAAACGCUUUCUCUAUUCAGCCAUUUGUUCAGCUGAUAAACUAAGAUAAUUAUUUGGCUUCUUUUCAACUAAAAGUAGUUUGGCUGACCUUUUUGGUAGAUCCUGGCCUGUCUAUCAAGCCAGUUUUUUCAAAAACAAUACAAUCAACAAUUUUCUGUGAGAUACGAUCAUACAUUUGAAAGCGACUGGAUUGCUUUGGACUAUACCAUCGUAUAAUAUAUUUUCUAGUCAGGCUAGUGGUUGAUACACUGACCUCUAUAUAUUAUUAUGUAUAUUAUUAAAAAGACUCGUGUUAAAAAAUAUUCUUCCUUGCGACUGUAGAUUCGGUUGAGUGAAAAGGGCGAUCGCUCCGGCUAGCUGAUCGUCUAUAUAGGUAAUGUUUUAACCUUGUUAGCUUGGAAAGCCACGAGAAAAAAGGUUUAAAUGUAUAUUAUCGCAUUACACGUUGAAUUGAUAUCUAGACAUCUAGUAUGUGAAAAAUAUGACAGGUCAUUAAUUAUUGCAAAUUCCAUUGUACGAACAAUCAUAGUUUAUCUUGAUAUAUACACAAGUUAUUUAACAUUAAUGUGGAAAAAUAAAUAUUGACUU
rnacentral:lncRNA from 1 species